GGGGUUGUGGCUCAGAGGUCAAGCUCUCGCCCAGCAUGCGUGAGGCACUGGGUUUGAUCCUCAGCACCACA
rnacentral:tRNA from 1 species